AUUGCAUGCUCCCCAGUUACCCAAGCCAGGAAGCAGGCCUUCAUCCUGUCUCCUCCCUCUGUCUCAUUCCCCACUUCCAAACAGUCACCCAAACUGUCAUCACUGACACCUCUCCAUCCCUGAGGCCAUCACUCUACCCCGGGUUCCAGCAUGCUCCACUUGGACUCACACCCAAUCCUAGUGGCUCUUUUCUCCUCCAUUUCCUUCCUUACCUGGGGACUCUCCUAUGUGAAUGCUAAGGAACAGACACACUGCACUUUGGGUUGUCACCUACCUGCUCCUCUCUCUGGGGUGCAUUGUAUCCCACCACAAGAAUGAAAGAACACAAAGAACCAACAGAAAGCUGGAAACUAUAAACUCUGGAGGAGUUGCCAUGGUCAUAGUGUCUCUUCACAGCAAUAGAAACCCUAAGGAAGACAGAAGUUGGUACCAGGCCUGGAGUAUUGCUGUAAUAGGCCUGAUCAUGCCUUUGGUUGGAAGGAAUUUGGACUUUGGUACUUGGGGUUAGAAAAGCAGUGGAAGGCUUUAAGCACCGCUUGAUGGGCCAUACAGUAGGAGAAUGGAAGACAGUAGUGCUAAGAGUUACUGGAACUGUGAGGGGCUGGCUCAGGAUGUUUCAGAGGAGGAGAAUUUUAAUAUGUUGCCUAGAAAUUUUUCUUGUGAUGUUUUGGUAAAGAAUGUGGCUGCUUUUUGACAUUGUCUGAAAAGUUUGUCUGAGACUAAAGUGAAUUUUUUGAUUAAUUGCCUUGGUAGAGGAAAUCUUAAAACAGCCUAGAAUAGACUCUGUUGUGUGGCUACUAAUGUUGAGUCUAAUGAAGACACGUAAUGAAAAGGAGCAAUGAGCAACAAAAAAUAUUUAAGGAGAAAAGGAACACCAGGAAGUAGAAUAGAGCAAACAGCAGAACUUGGCAACUCCAGCCAUGUGAUUCUGGAGUUAAGGACAGAAGAAAGGGGUUAUGGAAUUUGCCUCUGCAUGAAAGGAAAGCCACUGAGGCCAGGCAUGUGUCAGUGGUAUCCCUGAAUGGAGGCCUAACCAGGCCAUUGAGUGAAGCUGUGAAGUUGAAGCCUGGUUUGCCUUGGAGACCCAAAGAGGUUGGAGAUGCCAGAGCAGUGAGGAGAGCAGCUAACAGGGAGUGGAACCAGCCCAAGAGAAAGGAGUGUGUCACAGUCAACAAAGCUGAAAGGAACUGGAGAUCUGGAGUACUUUGACAUAAUACAUGGAUAUGCAGAGUUUGGAGUUUGCCCAGCUGGUUUUCAACCUUGCUUUGUUCCUUCCCUAUGUUUUGGAAUGGUAAUGCAUAUCCUGUGCCAUUAUAUGUUGGAAGUAUAUUUUUGCUUUUAAUUUUGAUUUUAUGUUGGGAAACCUUGCAGGUCAGAGGUUGCAGCCUAUCAUGGCCUGGCAGCUUUCUCCAAAGCUUGAUGACAUGGGGACUCCCCCACUCCCACCCUGCCCAGUGAGACUUCCUGUCCUUUACCUGCCCUUAUCUGGGGAGAAUGUCCCUGGGCCCAGAGGACUGACCUUAUCUGAAAAUUGUCUCUAAGCCUGGAUGCCUGAUUUAUCUUUAGCAUGACCCUUGGCACAGUUCCCUGCUAAAAGCCUCCCCUGCUGCACAUAUGGUAGCUAAGACUAGGAGCCUUCCUAUAGGACCCUGCUGCCACAUAUGAAGCCUUAUGAUAGAGGUGUGCCACCUAAUGCAAAUUAGGGUUUGUCCCCAGGUUUCCCAACCCUGUAUAUUCUUUAUACUCUGGAAUAAAGUUCAGCUGAUUCACUGAAGUCAUCUCCCAGAGUGCUGUCUCUAUCAUACCCACAGCCGCCUGGAACCUGUUCUCUGCUUCUGCUCCCUCCUCCCUCACGGAUCAAGGCAACAAUGAUCUCAAGGAAGCAGAGCCACAAUUUUGUGGGGGAUUGCAGUUAAGAUAUUGUAUGAAUCUCAGAAGACACUUUGAACUUUUGACUUUUAAAUAAAAUUGAAACUGUUAUAGACUA